GGUACACCCUGGGUGGAGUUUCUAUCCAGGGCUGUAGACUCAGGAAGCUUCCUUGGUUCUGAAUGAAGAGCCAAGCUGGAAGGUACCCUGAGCCACCAGUCUGCAGAGCCACCCUGCCGUCCAUUCGAAGGUCAUUUCCCUGUUACCACAGCCAGAAGAGGUGCGUACAGACCCAGAACUCUGGAAAAGUAAGACCCUGACUUUCCGUAUGGAAUGAACUCACCAGGCAGCGGCAGCCCUGAGGUGGGAGCUGGCUUGCUGCUCUCAGCAUAAAGGACUGCUGGAGACCCUGGAGAGAGGCCACCUUGAUCUCCCCCGAGACUGGAGAGUCUCGCCGGAAUCCUUACCUGCGAACUCUCAGCUAAGUUAAAUCCAGCAGCCAUGGCCAGCGCCCAGGUUCCUUUCUCCUUUCCUCUGGCCCACUUCCUCAUCUUUGUCUUCGUGACUUCCACCAUCAUCCACCUCCAGCAGCGAAUAGUGAAGCUCCAACCCCUGUCAGAGAAGGAAUUACCGAUGACGACUCAAAUGUCCUCGGGAAACACAGAAAGCCCAGAGAUGCGACGGGACAGCGAGCAGCAUGGGAAUGGAGAGCUGC
rnacentral:lncRNA from 1 species